UACGUAGGGCGCAAGCGUUAUCCGGAUUCACUGGGUUUAAAGGGUGCGUAGGUGGGCAGGUAAGUCAGUGGUGAAAUCUCCGGGCUUAACCCGGAAACUGCCAUUGAUACUAUCUGUCUUGAAUAUCGUGGAGGUGAGCGGAAUAUGUCAUGUAGCGGUGAAAUGCUUAGAUAUGACAUAGAACACCAAUUGCGAAGGCAGCUCGCUACACAUAUAUUGACUCUGAGGCACGAAAGCGUGGGGAUCAAACAGG
rnacentral:rRNA from 1 species